CUUCUCGGGAUCCUACCCGGGCUUUCGCAACACCUAUUUCUCAGAAGUGGGGUGGAAAAGACGGCCUCUCUCAUUGGCCGAUUCGUAAGGGACUGUUCGGUCAUUUGUUGCCAUAACAACCCAUUCAGGGAGGCCAGUGGGCCCGGGGGAGGCUAUUCCCGAGGCCCAACCCAACCGAUUUAAGGCUAGCUCUCAGCGGCCGGCUCUUCUACCCUCCCUCCGCAUCGCUCCGGCUGCUGAGGCGCUCUGUCAAUCACCAGCCCUUCCGGCAGCCAGGCGGCCGCGGCGGAAAGCCAGGGCUGAACCGAGAGGGGGCGCUUGGUGCGCCCCGCCUACCCCCGGCGAGUCCUGCGACUCAGGUUUCUAAAGUCCUAUUUGGAGGCUGGAAAUGACGCAAAACACAGAGCAUUCAAGUGCGGAGGAGCUGCCACAGAACACAAUAAAUGGGUUGCCUUUUUUGUGUAUUUAAGAAAAAAAGUGAUGCUGCUUAAACAAAGAUUACCUGGUGGCGGAAAUUCUUGUGAGUCAAAAUAAAAAGCCCUGUUCUUCUUAGCACUUAAAUCAUUUUCUGGUGGUGAUUUCUGCUCUGAGAAGCCAGUUCAUCUAAUUUCAGGACUGUUCUGUGCCAAGAAAUAACUUGGGUUAAGGCAAGAACAGAGCCCGUUAUCAGAUAAUAUCACUGGAAGAAUAUACCAGAGAAACGGGUGACAGUAAUUGCCCUUGGACAGGGCAACAUGGGAAACAGGGUUGGAUGUGGCUCUGCCAGGCUUGACAGGAAUCAGUUAGGCUUGAUUCCAGGCUGCUGGUUGGAUUCAAGCCUAUGCCACAUAUUUCCUCAUUCUCCUUGGACCAGGGGCUACCUGGGACAUGUUCUUCUCAUGAAGGGUCACCGGAGUCCAGGAGAGUAAACUGAAACAUAAGAUGCCUCUUGAGAUCUCGGCCUGCAACUGGCAUACUUGUCAUUUUGGCCCACAUCUCAUUGACCAAACCAAGUUACAAGGCAAAUACAUCAUAGGUUGGGGUGAGGGGAGAUGUCCUCUGCCUCCUCUAGUAGGAGACACUGAAAAAUUAUAUAAGUAUGUGGAUGUAGAACUGUAAUACAGGAAGUUCAUGAAGCAUGGGGAGCAGUGAUUCGAUCUAUCAUAUCAUUUUCAAAGAGUUCAAUGUGCUCCUUAAUGGCUUAAGAAUAAUGACUCUGGGUAGAUGCAGUCCAAGAUACAACACAAAAUCUCUGGUCCAUAAACAAUCUCAUCCUGCUGAACUGGUAGCCCCAGUUUCCUUGGGUUGGUAAACAUAGAUACAAUGAAGUAAAUUAAACCCAUAUUGGAAUAAUCUGUAUACUUGUUGUUUUUCAGUUACUAAGUCAUGUCCAACUCUUUGCAACUCCAUGGACUGUAGCACACCAGGCUCCUCUGUUUUCCACUAUCUCCCAGAGUUUGCUCAAAUUAAUGUCCACUGAGUCAGUGAUGCUCACUGGCAAUACUAUCUGUACAUAUCUGGUAUUUAUUUGAGAGAGAAGGGAGCAAGAUAGUGCAGUAGUAUGAGUUUGCAGCCAAUACAAGCCACCACCUUCCUCUGGCCCCAGGUUGCCUUCCUCAGCUUUCACCCUUACUGGGUAUAGCAGCUCAAAGGUGCCUUUGCCAAUACACACUGAAUCAUGAAAGACAAGAAGACCCAGCAGCAGGAUUUUUGCUGAGUGUGUGGCAAGGCAUGAAACCUAAGGCUGGACUAGAUGACAAAGACAAGAUCUUGUGGUACAUAGGUCAAAACAUACUACUUGAAUCUUCUAAUUUGCAUACAAUUCAUCUUUCCCUCAAGACGUUUGAAACAAGAAAUGAAACAAAACUAAUUAAAGAUGUAAACUAUCCUGGACCGCCUCAACUAUUGUUUGGACCAAAGUGAUCAGGUCCUUGUCCUUCAUGCCUAACAGAAGAAAGGGCGUGUCUUCUAGGGGAGAGGAGGUAAUAUUUACUCCAGUAUCUAUGGUCUUUUAAAACAUUGUCUGGAUAACGUCAAUUAAAAUUAAAAGACUUGAGAAGAAACAGGGCUGCUGCUGCUGCUAAGUCGCUUCAGUCGUGUCCGACUCUGUGCAACCCCAUAGACGGCAGCCCACCAAGC